GGGGAAUCUUAGACAAUGGGCGCAAGCCUGAUCUAGCCAUGCCGCGUGAGCGAUGAAGGCCUUAGGGUUGUAAAGCUCUUUCAGGGGGGAAGAUAAUGACUGUACCCCCAGAAGAAGCCCCGGCUAACUCCGUGCCAGCAGCCGCGGUAAUACGGAGGGGGCUAGCGUUGUUCGGAAUUACUGGGCGUAAAGCGCACGUAGGCGGACUGGAAAGUUGGGGGUGAAAUCCCGGGGCUCAACCCCGGAACUGCCUUCAAAACUUCCGGUCUUGAGGUCGAGAGAGGUGAGUGGAAUUCCGAGUGUAGAGGUGAAAUUCGUAGAUAUUCGGAGGAACACCAGUGGCGAAGGCGGCUCACUGGCUCGAUACUGACGCUGAGGUGCGAAAGCGUGGGGAGCAAAC
rnacentral:rRNA from 1 species